UACGGAGGGGGCUAGCGUUGUUCGGAAUUACUGGGCGUAAAGCGCACGUAGGCGGCUUUGUAAGUUAGAGGUGAAAGCCCGGGGCUCAACUCCGGAAUUGCCUUUAAGACUGCAUCGCUAGAAUUGUGGAGAGGUAAGUGGAAUUCCGAGUGUAGAGGUGAAAUUCGUAGAUAUUCGGAAGAACACCAGUGGCGAAGGCGGCUUCUUGGCCUGUUCUUGACGCUGAGGCGCGAAAGCUGGGGGAGCAAACGGG
rnacentral:rRNA from 1 species